rnacentral:rRNA from 1 species
AAUUUUGGACAAUGGGGGAAACCCUGAUCCAGCCAUCCCGCGUGUAUGAUGAAGGCCUUCGGUUUGUAAAUACCUUUGGGCUGGGAGGAAAAGGUAUUCCCUACUCCGAGUACCUCCUGCCGUUUUUUGCGGACAACGCACCGCUUAACUACGUCCCACCACCCGCGGUAAUACGUAGGGUGCAAGCGUUAAUCGGAAUUACUGGGCGUAACGCGUGUGUAGGCGGGUCGGAAAGAAAGAUGUGAAAUCCCAGGGCUCAACCUUGGAACUGCAUUUUUAACUGCCGAGCUAGAGUAUGUCAGAGGGGGGUAGAAUUCCACGUGUAGCAGUGAAAUGCGUAGAUAUGUGGAGGAAUACCGAUGGCGAAGGCAGCCCCCUGGGAUAAUACUGACGCUCAGACACGAAAGCGUGGGGAGCAAACA